rnacentral:rRNA from 1 species
GAUGAACGCUGGCGGCGUGCCUAAUACAUGCAAGUCGAGCGAACAGAUGAGGAGCUUGCUCCUCUGACGUUAGCGGCGGACGGGUGAGUAACACGUGGAUAACCUACCUAUAAGGCUGGGAUAACUUCGGGAAACCGGAGCUAAUACCGGAUAAUAUAUUGAACCGCAUGGUUCAAUAGUGAAAGACGGUUUUGCUUUCACUUAUCGAUGGAUCCGCGCCGCAUUAGCUAGUUGGUAAGGUAACGGCUUACCAAGGCAACGAUGCGUAGCCGACCUGAGAGGGUGAUCAGCAACACAGGAAGUGAGACACGGUCCAGAAUCCAAAGGGAGGCAGCAGUAGGGAAUCUUCGGCAAUGGGCGAAAGCGUGAAGGAGCAACGCCGCGUGAGGGAUGAAGGUCUUCGGAUCGUAAAACUCUGUUAUAAGGGAAGAACAAAUGUGUAAGUAACUAUGCACUACUUGAAGGUACCUAAUCAGAAAGCAACGGCUAACUACGUG